AGUUACCAUCAGGUAAGGCUGGGGACUCUAAUGAGACUGCCAUCGUAAGAUGUGAGGAAGGUGGGGAUGACGUCAAAUCAGCACGGCCCUUACGUCCGGGGCGACACACGUGUUACAAUGGGUGGUACAAAGGGCAGCUACCUGGCGACAGGAUGCUAAUCUCCAAAACCACUCUCAGUUCGGAUCGGAGUCUGCAACUCGACUCCGUGAAGCUGGAUUCGCUAGUAAUCGCGCAUCAGCACGGCGCGGUGAAUACGUUCCCGGGCCUU
rnacentral:rRNA from 1 species